rnacentral:rRNA from 1 species
UUGAACGCUGGCGGCAUGCUUUACACAUGCAAGUCGAACGGCAGCGCGGGGCAACCUGGCGGCGAGUGGCGAACGGGUGAGUAAUAUAUCGGAACGUACCCAAGAGUGGGGGAUAACGUAGCGAAAGUUACGCUAAUACCGCAUACGAUCUCAGGAUGAAAGCAGGGGACCGCAAGGCCUUGUGCUCCUGGAGCGGCCGAUAUCUGAUUAGCUAGUUGGUGAGGUAAAGGCUCACCAAGGCGACGAUCAGUAGCUGGUCUGAGAGGACGACCAGCCACACUGGAACUGAGACACGGUCCAGACUCCUACGGGAGGCAGCAGUGGGGAAUUUUGGACAAUGGGGGCAACCCUGAUCCAGCAAUGCCGCGUGAGUGAAGAAGGCCUUCGGGUUGUAAAGCUCUUUUGUCAGGGAAGAAACGGCUGUGGCUAAUAUCCACGGCUAAUGACGGUACCUGAAGAAUAAGCACCGGCUAACUACGUGCCAGCAGCCGCGGUAAUACGUAGGGUGCAAGCGUUAAUCGGAAUUACUGGGCGUAAAGCGUGCGCAGGCGGUUUUGUAAGUCUGACGUGAAUAAUAAUCCCCGGGCUUAACCUGGGAAUUGCGUUGGAGACUGCAAGGCUGGAGUCUGGCAGAGGGGGGUAGAAUUCCACGUGUAGCAGUGAAAUGCGUAGAGAUGUGGAGGAACACCGAUGGCGAAGGCAGCCCCCUGGGUCAAGACUGACGCUCAUGCACGAAAGCGUGGGGAGCAAACAGGAUUAGAUACCCUGGUAGUCCACGCCCUAAACGAUGUCUACUAGUUGUCGGGUUUUAAUUAACUUGGUAACGCAGCUAACGCGUGAAGUAGACCGCCUGGGGAGUACGGUCGCAAGAUUAAAACUCAAAGGAAUUGACGGGGACCCGCACAAGCGGUGGAUGAUGUGGAUUAAUUCGAUGCAACGCGGAGAACCUUACCUACCCUUGACAUGUCAGGAACCUCCGAGAGAUUGGAGGGUGCCCGAAAGGGAGCCUGAACACAGGUGCUGCAUGGCUGUCGUCAGCUCGUGUCGUGAGAUGUUGGGUUAAGUCCCGCAACGAGCGCAACCCUUGUCAUUAGUUGCUACGAAAGGGCACUCUAAUGAGACUGCCGGUGGCAAACCGGAGGAAGGUGGGGAUGACGUCAAGUCCUCAUGGCCCUUAUGGGUAGGGCUUCACACGUCAUACAAUGGUACAUACAGAGGGCCGCCAACCCGCGAGGGGGAGCUAAUCCCAGAAAGUGUAUCGUAGUCCGGAUCGCAGUCUGCAACUCGACUGCGUGAAGUUGGAAUCGCUAGUAAUCGCGGAUCAGCAUGUCGCGGUGAAUACGUUCCCGGGUCUUGUACACACCGCCCGUCACACCAUGGGAGCGGGUUUUACCAGAAGUAGGUAGCUUAACCGUAAGGAGGGCGCUUACCACGGUAGGAUUCGUGACUGGGGUG